rnacentral:rRNA from 1 species
GACGAACGCUGGCGGCGUGCCUAAUACAUGCAAGUUGAGCGCUGAAGGUUGGUACUUGUACCAACUGGUUGAGCAGCGCACGGGUGAGUAACGCGUGGGGAAUCUGCCUUUGAGCGGGGGACAACAUUUGGAAACGAAUGCUAAUACCGCAUAAAAACUUUAAACACAAGUUUUAAGUUUGAAAGAUGCAAUUGCAUCACUCAAAGAUGAUCCCGCGUUGUAUUAGCUAGUUGGUGAGGUAAAGGCUCACCAAGGCGAUGAUACAUAGCCGACCGGAGAGGGUGAGCGGCCACAUUGGGACGGAGACACGGCCCAAACUCCUACGGGAGGCAGCAGGAGGGAAUCUUCGGCAAUGGACGAAAGGCUGACCGAGCAACGCCGCGGGAGUGAAGAAGGUUUUCGGAUCGUAAAACUCUGUUGGUAGAGAAGAACGUUGGUGAGAGUGGAAAGCUCAUCAAGUGACGGUAACUACACAGAAAGGGACGGCUAACUACGUG